rnacentral:rRNA from 1 species
GGCUUUCGGGCUGAGUAGAGCGGCGGACGGGUGAGUAACGCGUAGGAAUCUACCUGGUAGUGGGGGACAACUUGGGGAAACUCAAGCUAAUACCGCAUACGCCCUAUGGGGGAAAGCGGGGGACCUUCGGGCCUCGCGCUAUCAGAUGAGCCUGCGUAGGAUUAGCUAGUUGGUGAGGUAAAGGCUCACCAAGGCGACGAUCCUUAGCUGGUCUGAGAGGAUGAUCAGCCACACUGGGACUGAGACACGGCCCAGACUCCUACGGGAGGCAGCAGUGGGGAAUAUUGCGCAAUGGGGGCAACCCUGACGCAGCCAUGCCGCGUGUGUGAAGAAGGCCUUCGGGUUGUAAAGCACUUUAAGUGGGGAGAAAAGGGUAGCGGUUAAUAGCCGUUACCUGUGAUGUUACCCACAGAAUAAGCACCGGCUAACUCCGUGCCAGCAGCCGCGGUAAUACGGAGGGUGCGAGCGUUAAUCGGAAUUACUAGGCGUAAAGCGCGCGUAGGUGGUUUGUUAAGUCAGCUGUGAAAGCCCCGGGCUCAACCUGGGAACUGCAGUUGAUACUGGCCGACUAGAGUACGAGAGAGGGAGGUAGAAUUCCAUGUGUAGCGGUGAAAUGCGUAGAUAUAUGGAGGAAUACCGGUGGCGAAGGCGGCCUCCUGGCUCGAUACUGACGCUGAGGUGCGAAAGCGUGGGGAUCAAACAGGAUUAGAUACCCUGGUAGUCCACGCCGUAAACGAUGUCUACUAGCCGUUGGGAGACUUGAUUUCUUAGUGGCGCAGCUAACGCAAUAAGUAGACCGCCUGGGGAGUACGGCCGCAAGGUUAAAACUCAAAUGAAUUGACGGGGGCCCGCACAAGCGGUGGAGCAUGUGGUUUAAUUCGAUGCAACGCGAAGAACCUUACCAGGUCUUGACAUCCAGAGAACUUGGCAGAGAUGCCUUGGUGCCUUCGGGAGCUCUGAGACAGGUGCUGCAUGGCUGUCGUCAGCUCGUGUCGUAGAUGUUGGGUUAAGUCCCGUAACGAGCGCAACCCUUGUCCUUAGUUGCCAGCGAGUAAUGUCGGGAACUCUAAGGAGACUGCCGGUGACAAACCGGAGGAAGGUGGAGACGACGUCAAGUCAUCAUGGCCCUUACGACCUGGGCUACACACGUGCUACAAUGGAACGCACAGAGGGCUGCAAAGGCGCGAGCUGGAGCCAAUCCCACAAAACGUUUCGUAGUCCGGAUCGGAGUCUGCAACUCGACUCCGUGAAGUCGGAAUCGCUAGUAAUCGUGGAUCAGAAUGCCACGGUGAAUACGUUCCCGGGCCUUGUACACACCGCCCGUCACACCAUGGGAGUGGGUUGCUCCAGAAGUGGUUAGCCUAACCUUCGGGGGGGCGAUCACCACGGAGUGAUUCAUGACUG